rnacentral:rRNA from 1 species
GACGAACGCUGGCGGCGUGCUUAACACAUGCAAGUCGUACGAUGACCCGGCUCUUCGGAGCUGGUGAUUAGUGGCGAACGGGUGAGUAACACGUGGGUGACCUGCCCUGCACUCUGGGAUAAGCCCGGGAAACUGGGUCUAAUACUGGAUACGACCAGUGGCCGCAUGGUCUGCUGGUGGAAAGCCCUUCGGGGUGGUGUGGGAUGGGCCCGCGGCCUAUCAGCUUGUUGGUGGGGUGAUGGCCUACCAAGGCGACGACGGGUAGCCGGCCUGAGAGGGUGUCCGGCCACACUGGGACUGAGACACGGCCCAGACUCCUACGGGAGGCAGCAGUGGGGAAUCUUGCACAAUGGGCGAAAGCCUGAUGCAGCGACGCCGCGUGAGGGAUGACGGCCUUCGGGUGGUAAACCUCUUUCGGCAGGGAACAAGCCUGGGGGUUUUCUUCUGGGUGAGGGUACCUGCGGAAGAAGCACCGGCUAACUACGUG